GCUGAUGUAGCCUUGCGGUUAGGGUGAAGCGCUUCAACUAGACUGCCAGCGUUCAAAUCUCAGCGUCGACA